rnacentral:lncRNA from 1 species
CUUGCAGUGCAGUGUGCCCUGAACCGCCCUGCCUUCUUUGCUGAGAGGCUCUACUAUGCUAUGAAAGGUGCUGGCACAGAUGACUCCACCCUGGUCCGGAUUGUGGUCACUCGAAAUUGACCUUGUACAAAUAAAACAGAUGUUCGCUCAGAUGUAUCAGAAGACUCUGGGCACAAUGAUUGCAGGUGACACGAGUGGAGAUUACCGAAGACUUCUUCUGGCUAUUGUGGGCCAGUAGGAGGGAUUUUUUUUUUUUUAAUGAAAAAAAAUUUCUAUUCAUAGCUUAUCCUUCAGAGCAAUGACCUGCAUGCAGCAAUAUCAAACAUCAGCUAACCGAAAGAGCUUUCUGUCAAGGACCGUAUCAGGGUAAUGUGCUUGGUUUGCACAUGUUGUUAUUGCCUUAAUUCUAAUUUUAUUUUGUUCUCUACAUACAAUCAAUGUAAAGCCAUAUCACAAUGAUACAGUAAUAUUGCAAUGUUUGUAAACCUUCAUUCUUACUAGUUUCAUUCUAAUCAAGAUGUCAAAUUGAAUAAAAAUCACAGCAAUCUCUGAUUCUGUGUAAUAAUAUUGAAUAAUUUUUUAGAAGGUUACUGAAAGCUCUGCCUUCCGGAAUCCCUCUAAGUCUGCUUGAUAGAGUGGAUAGUGUGUUAAAACUGUGUACUUUAAAAAAAAAUUCAACCUUUACAUCUAGAAUAAUUUGCAUCUCAUUUUGCCUAAAUUGGUUCUGUAUUCAUAAACACUUUCCACAUAGAAAAUAGAUUAGUAUUACCUGUGGCACCUUUUAAGAAAGGGUCAAAUGUUUAUAUGCUUAAGAUACAUAGCCUACUUUUUUUUCGCAGUUGUUUUCUUUUUUUAAAUUGAGUUAUGACAAAUAAAAAAUUGCAUAU